GAAUGUUCCCAAUUAAAUGUGGGAUCAGACUGUGGCAUGCCAUAAAUUGUUACACAAAAUAAUCUCUAAUAUUGUAAAUAACAUACUGUAAAAAUGAAGUAAAUAACAAUGUAAUAAUGAUAGUGAACACAUUAUCCAUAAAUUUUAUAAUUGCAGAUUAUAGAGUGCUGCACGGGUGAUGAAUUUUUGUAGGCCAAAACCUGAAAACAAGUUAGCAUUUUAGCACUACAGGUUCCAUCGGAUACAUUAAGUUUUUUUGAAUGUGUUUUGGUUAAAUGCCUGAAACAAGGUCUGUGGAUAACAUGUUUAAGAUAUUUUCAUGUUCUAUUCUAUGACUUAAAAUACAUACAAGUAAUACACCCUUCUGAUUUUUAAAAAUCUUUUACUUGUCUUGUAAAAGGGGGUUGAUAGCAAGUGGCUAAAAGGGACUACAUUAAACAUCAUCAUGCCAAACAGGAAAACUAUUUUACUUGUGAGGAGCAGGGUGGCAUGUGUGCGUGACUCUUUUGUUCCACUUUGUUUUCUUGUGGCUACUUUCAAGGCCUUUUUAUUUGAACUUUUGAAAUGCUCAGCCAACACAAACCCUGUAUGAAAUUGUUUGUCACAAAUCCUGCUGACCCUGCAGAAGACAUGAAUACUCCCUCUGAAUUAUCACUCUCAUGGCAUUAGCUGAUGUCAGGUGAUUUUUUUCUGCUUGAUUGCAAAUUAGACCAGUGCUGUAUUUGAAUCACCAGUUACCUGGCUGUCAUCAUACAUGCUAUAGCUUCUACUGUUACCUCAGUUGAGGUAAGACCUGGUGCUUGUCUUUCUGUAUUCAACACCCCUUAAAAGAAAGCUGGGCAUAUGGCACUGAAGACUAUGCAGAAACCAGACAUUACGUCUAAUUGCCUUCGGUAAUAACAAAGAGCCUCCUAUCUUAGUCUCCCCUUAGCUGUUCCCAUCUCGGUGUCCCUCUGCCCACUUCCAUCCUCACUUUGCUUUCAAGAUGAAAUAGCCCAUGACUAAUCGUCAUGUACAGCAUGCUGAGUGCAUGCUGGGCGUAGGUCUACCCUUUCACCUUUCCACCCUCACAUAUGAAAUAUUUGACAAGUGGACUUAAGACUAUAAUUCUCAUUUUAGAGGUCAGAGUUCGGAAGCGGCAAGCACAUAUGUCUUAGGAAACGACAUGAAAUCCAUUACAAACAAGUUAGAUAUGGCCACACUUGGGGUUCUCGACUGACCCUUCUUCCCUAUGUA
ensembl:lncRNA